AUCCAGCUGAUGUAUCUUAAAUAGGACGAAAUGUAAGUCCUGGAU
rnacentral:hammerhead_ribozyme from 1 species